UUUAAAAUAUAACUCUGACUUGUGUGUGGUUUGUAAACAUAACUCAUUUAGUAAUACAGGAAAUUACCACGACAAGUCGUUGAAAGUUCUUGCAGAUGCAAUCUAUGAAUACCUCAGCAUCCACAACAGGUAAACUCUGAGCGAGAUAAACCACUUGGUUGGCAUGAAAGUCGGAUAUUCCAGGGAAUAGUUUUAACAGUACGACAUUGUUAUAUGACAUGCAUCCAGGGUGACAAACUUUUGGAAAUAUUCACCAUGCUGCAUUGAGGUCUGGUCAGAAAUUCUACAGGUAAUAGUUUUUCUCAGUUGUUGGUUUACUUUCCUGAUUGAAUCGAUCCUUUCAACUGCAGUAGUCGCUUUGUGUUUGUCCCCGGUCCUGAAGAUCCUGGUCCCAGCACAAUCCUACCCAGGCCCUGUUGGCAGACCACAUCACUGAGGAGUUCAGACAGAGGGUGCCAUUCUCUGUGUUCACUACGAACCCAUGCAUGUGACUGAAAUAUUAUAGUUGCUUGAUUUGUUAACUUUUCCAUAAUUUGUUUCUCGUCUUGAACUUUAUUAGCAAAGAUCUUAUGAUUUUUUUUCACAUAAUAGCUAAUAUGUAGCAUUGUCAAAUACAUUUGUCUGCAUAAGGCUACAUUUGCUCAUUAUAGCAUUUUACCAAUCUUGUUUUCACAGGUUACUAGAUGGCUUGUUGUCUUUGUUUUGCCUCUGCAGUGGCAUUUUGUAAAUGUCAUCUUUGACGUAUAACAACAUGUGAAUCUACUUUUCCUGUGUCAGAAUCCAGUACUGCAGCCAGGAGAUUGUUGUCAUUUGAGAAGAACUGGUGAACAAGAUGUGUAGAAAUUGUGUCCGGCUGCCUAGCAGCAAUCUCCGCAUUCCAAACCAUGUGAGAUUUAGCUCCUCAGUUAUGACACAGUCAAUCUCUACUACUACUGCCUAUAGCAUCUAACUUGGCUACUAACCAUGGCCUGUAUUCACAAAGCAUUUCAGAGAAGGGGUGCUGAUCUAGGAUUGCCCCCCCCCCGUCCAUAUAAUUGGACAAACUUAUUUUGUCCAGAUUAUUUCUAGGUUCACUGCUAUCUUCCUCUGUUCUUCAGAAAUACAAUUAAUCAAAAUAAGACCACUCCUGGUCACUGACAGACCACUUUUCCCAGCGCAUUCUUCACAAUUUGACACCUCAAACGGGUGUCCCACAUAUGCAUCCCAACAAGAAGAGAUUCAUUAUCAUUCAUACAUGUAUCCUCCACUCCAAUUCCAGUUUUCAAUACUACUGUUGUCCAUUCAGAACAUUCGUCUUCACCAACUUUGCUCGCCACGCUGCUUGAUUCGAACUCAUUAUCCACUURCAUCUUUCCCUGACAGCAUGUCCCAGCAGCCUUUGCCUUCCUCCAUUUCUAAAAGGGACAUGUCUUCUUAAAGGGAUAGCCCACCAAAAUGACAAUGGCAGCCAUCUUAGAUUUGACAGAUAAAAUAAUGCAGUCAGAACUGGCAGAUACAUAAUAUAACAGCAUUAAAAU